GGGAGGCAGGGGGUCUGCGAAGGGGUGCGUGCGGUAGGGGACGGGACCUUCCUGCUCAGUAGGGCUAUGGCAGGAGACGUGCUCAAGGCUGGGACAGGGCAGGGACAAGGACACACACGGAUGGAAGCUUUCUCUGUGCCCAGGACUAGUCAUUCAUCUCUUUUGAGUUGAAGAAGAAAGAGGGAGAACAAUGAGGAAGAGGAGGAGAAGCAGGGGAGCAGGAGACCGCGCGCCCGCCUCCUCGUUUGACAGGAGCUGGGAGCCUCUGCGCCAGCCCUCGCUGCGGCUGUCAGGCGGUCGCACCCCUGCUACUAGGACUUACAUGUUAACUUCCCUAGUUGUGCGAUAAAGGCACCACAGAGACGGUGAGUGACACCCCGAGAGAGGAGUCCGCAGACGAUGAGCUAAACAUGAGGCCGGGCGAGACCACGUCGGAAGUGGGUACCUACGAUGCAAUCUGACGGAGGCGGCUGUCGGCUCUGCGAUGGGAGGGACUGACUGACUGCAAGUCUCUACGGUGGGCUGAUAACCAGCUGUUCUGAGGGUGGUGAAGGUGCUUCAGAUGACCAGCUCUGUAGAGGUGCGGGCUGAAGGUGCUAAGCUGGGCGGGUUUGGAGCUCGACGACAGGGGGAAACUCCAGCAAACAUGCGAGGGGGCAGGGCAGAGGAUUACGCUGGAAGAAAUGAUACACACGGAUCUGGGCUGGCUCGGUGGUGCAGCAGUGACGUGUUGCUGGAGGGAUGCUGGAUUCACAUGGAAGGUUACAGGCGAGACCCACGCGCCUAGGAUGGUGGAAGACGGCCCCGUGUGUCCGUGCGAGGACUGAGGCCGCCGUUCGGGGCGUCGCUGCCUGGUACGAUUAGGAUGCUGGAGCUUCCUCCCGCGUCUAGUCUCCUUCCAGUCAUCUCUGCCAUUCAGCCCGAGUAUUGU